rnacentral:rRNA from 1 species
AGGACGAACGCUGGCGGCGUGCUUAAUGCAUGCAAGUCGCACGAGGCCCCACGGACGGGUAACCGUCCCGGGGUCCUAGUGGCGAACGGGUGAGUAACACGUGAGGAACCUGCCCCGGAGUCCGGGAUAGCCCAGGGAAACCUGGAUUAAUACCGGAUGUCCUCGAUCGGUCGCAUGUCUGGUCGAGGAAAGGUCCGCCGCUCCGGGAUGGCCUCGCGGCCUAUCAGCUUGUUGGUGAGGUAACGGCUCACCAAGGCAACGACGGGUAGCUGGUCUGAGAGGACGAUCAGCCACACUGGGACAGAGACACGGCCCAGACUCCUACGGGAGGCAGCAGCAGGGAAUAUUGCACAAUGGGCGAAAGCCUGAUGCAGCGACGCCGCGUGAGGGAUGAAGGCCUCCGGGUCGUAAACCUCUUUCAGGAGGGAAGAAGCGCAAGUGACGGUACCUCCAGAAGAAGCCCCGGCCAACUACGUGCCAGCCGCUGC